CAAGAUGGAGUAGACACAAUUUUCCCUUUCCUCCCAUUAAAUAUACAGCUAACAACCCUGGACAUUCAAUAUUAAACAAACAUGAGAAGACUCCAAAUGGUGGAAGAAGAAAGUCAGACUGUCUAGGGACAUUAGGGCCUGAGAAGCAACACGGGAGUAUGUUUCCUAAGUUUUCAUUUUGCUUCAUACAUCUUGGAUGGGGUGAUAGAGAUGGAGAUGCCAGCAACUUGGAAAUCCCAACAGCUACAGACAACAACAACAGCAACAACAACAACAACAAAACAGCUUUCUCUCUCUAGCCAAAGGAUUAGGAAAGGGGCAGCCUAGCAAGACAAACUAUUUGACGAUAAUUGCCCUACACCUGCCAAACAUAAUAAAAAAAAAAAAAAAAAAUGCAACCCCCCCACCUACGUCAACAAAGGCUGAAUAGGGAAUCUAGAUUCCAUCCCCAACCAGCAGUACAGACGGAUCCCUCGGCUCCAUGUUGUGGAGGUGUCAGAGCAGGCCUAGUACAGGGUCAGGACUUCCACUACGGUGCUUUGUCAGCGGAGACCAUGUGGGGAGCAGGGAUGAGAUAGUCCUGUUCUUCUCAGCCAGUUUUCCAGACGAAGAAAUCAUAUUGGCUCAGGUUGUUCAAGUUCCGACUCCUAAUCCUAUUGGCUGUGGCUGAUGUGGGAAGGUAACAUAUAUAACCAGAGCUAAAAGGAAAAUACCCUGAUAGAAAUGGAAGUAGUUUCCAGAAAAGGGGGAUUAUUUAGAGAUGAGCAGGUGUCCUCUAAAUUGUCUUUAUAUGUUUAGUCCUGUGAAAUAAGCACUGUGGAAAGAAAAUAGGUGCUUAUAAUUCCUAGUCUUAAAAAAGUCACAAUCUCACAAACCUAUGUAUACAUGUGGAGUAAAGGAGUAAAAUGUAGUAUAAUGAUUACAAACUAAGUGAUGGUUUUGAUCAAAAGGGAGCUGGAUAUAGUGCAAACAUGAUGGAACUUAAAAUGCAAAGACAUGGGUUCAAAUCUUGGUUCUGGCCUCUAGUCUUUAUAGAUCCUUGGAUGGGUCACACAUUCUUCAUUUGUGGGUCUUCAUCUUUUUAUUUGUAAAUGUGGAUGAUUAUAUUUAACUUUAAGGCAUUUUGUGAAAAUUAACUGCAGCACCUACUAAAUGAAUAGUAGACAGCAGUAUCCAACCUUCAACCAUGUGGUUCACUGAACAUGUUUUCUUUCCUUUUCUUUUUCUUUUUUCUUUCUUUUUUUUUUUUUUUUUUUUUUUUUGAGACUGAGUUUUGCUCUUGUUGCCCAAACUGGAGUGCAAUGGCGUGAUCUCAGCUCACUGCAACCUCCACCUCCUAGGUUCAAGUGAUGCUCCUGCCUCAGCCUCCCGAGUAGCUGGGAUUACAGGUGCCCACCACCACACCCGGCUAAUUUUUUGUAUUUUUAGUAGAGAGGGCGUUUCACCUUGUUGGCCAGGCUGGUCUCAAACUCCUGACCUCAGGUGAUCCACCCACCUCCACCUCCCAAAGUGCUGGGAUUGCAGGAGUGAGCCACUGCACCCGGCCUGACCAUGUUUUAAACAUAUAAACUUGGUGAAACAACUGGGCUGUUUGUUGGCAAUAGACUAAGAUAUAUGUGUUGGUUGUCCUUAGGGAAAUCAUAGUCUGUUGGGGGUAUGAGACAGAUGAACAGAUACUUUCAGUAAAAUGUAGUACAGUUGUUGACUAUAAUUCUAGAUGUGAUUUGAAUUUGAUCUGGAAAGGUUUCAGGGAGGUGCUAGGACAUGAGAGAGGCCUUACGUUGGUGGGUAAGAUUUUACACCGUUACAUUCCAUAUGAAAAUGGGGGAAAGCCUUGGGCUGAGCUGACUUAGCUGUGCAAUGGUGAUGGUUCACAUUUUCAUUGUGG
ensembl:lncRNA